AGAGGUAGAGGCGCGCCGUCGAUGAGUAGCCGGGAGGAGGCCGAAAGCCAGAGAACCCCGGGGAAAGGCGCCGGCGCCGAAGCGGCGGGAUCGAACCCGCCGCUGGGCCCGCAUCGAACAGGUGCGGGACUGUCCUUUCAGCAUUGCCGGGCUGAAAGGGAGCGCUAUUG
rnacentral:ncRNA from 1 species